CACAGGAGUUGCGGUCGAUGACAAUGCUCGCUUUUUCGGAUUAGAGGACAAAGAUGCUGAAGAAAGGAAACGUAUUGGUGAAACUAUCAAAAAUAGUGAAGGUCAAAGUUUCGAUGGCCUAGUAUCUAAAGUAUGGAGUACACCAAAAGGUUCUAAUUCCGAGAGAAAGUAAUGAUUGACAUAAACUUAUUAUGAAAGCACUAAGAUUAGUU